rnacentral:lncRNA from 1 species
AGUGAGAGCGAUAAGGAUGAAAGGUUCUCGCAAUGGAAGCUCUGUACCAAGGGUAGAGGGGAAGGUAGCUUCUUCUUCUCGGUCUUCUGCAGUGAAAGAAAGCUCGGCAAAUUCAAUUGUUUCAGCUCGAGCGAGGUAAUUAGCCUGUGUUAGCAGAGCUCUUGGGGAAGAAGCAAGGGAGGAUUUUUUCACAUCAGAGAUUCCCACUAGGGCAGGGCGAGAGAAGGGGCAUUCCCGGUCAAAGCAUUGAUUCUAAGCCUUGAUUCUAUGGGGGGAUAGGUCAGAGCUAGCAUUGAAUAAGAAGAAGCUUCCUCUUAGCGACUACAAACGAAUGCUUUCUCAUUGAAGAAAAAGAAGGCUUUUUGCUCUUACAGAAGAAGCUGCUCUUGGCCUUUUCCUUGGAAACGAAAGAGAAAAGAAAGAUCGACGGGCUAGGCCCUUUAGGCCAAUUAACUAAGAGAGAAGACUGAACUUCAAGAACUAGCGAAAAUAGCCCUGAUCAAGGUGCGUGCGGAAGAAAUGCUUGCUCUCAGCUUUAUGUUAGCAAGACUCCAAAGCUAUUGGACUUGGAUAGUAAGCCAAGAGGGAAUCAGUCAACACUAAGCCAAAAGGCUAGCGAACGAGGGGAUAAAGAAGCUCUUCUUCAAAGGGGAAUGGCUCCUCUUUCUUCCUUCUAUCAAAAUUGAAAGAAGAAGAUCCCACGUGCUAGCCGAAAGGCCGAUUAGGAUGAUGCCUUCACUCCGUUCUCUAAAUAAAGGGAGAAAAGUCGCUUAUUCAAAGGGCUAUUAAGUUAUUAAGAAAAAAGGCUGCUUUAAGGGCAGCUUUUAGGCCUUCUCUGCACCGAUUCCCUCGACCUAGAAAUAUAGAAUAAAAGAUCGGUAGCGUAGAAAGAUUAGCUAACGAAUGCUCCUAUCCUAUGGUAAUGAGUGCUUGAAUAAACUCUGAUUCCGCUUGGCCGCUCUUCACUCUUGGUUUCAGCUCUUAACAAGAAUUGCCAUAGUUGAAUGUGAACAACUCGAUUGUUUAAGUCCUUUACCCGGUGAAGAAGGAAGACUAGCUAAAUCAAAAUCCUUCUCACGAAGAAGGAGUCCCACUACGCGGUAAGAGGCAAGGGCCUUGCUUUCUCCCUCCUAGCCAGUGAAGGAAGUCGGUUAAAUUCUUUUUUGAGCGAAAGAACCGAACCACAAAGAAUUUCUUUUAAGCUUAUGAGAAUGCCCAGGCUUGAUUAAGGUAGUUCAGUGACCCAGUUCAGUUCAGUGACUUCGACUUCAGGGCUUACCUCUUCGGAUGUUGAAGGAAUAACCGAUGCUAUUGAAGAAGCUGUUCUUGCUCUUCUUCUCUUUGCUCUUGUUGAGUAAGAUGUGAUUGCUCUAGUAGCACAGCAGUAGGAAUAGUCUAUAUCACCGAUAGGCCAGGCCAAUUAGUUAGUGAAGUAUGGCAUCUUCGUAGUAGUAGUGGGAGUAGGAGUAGUAGCAUUGGAUUAGUUAGAGAUAGUAUCUUCUUUCUUGUUGAAUAAGCUUAGUCUCACAUUAGCAGAUCGAAGUGCAAGAGCAGGGCCUGGUGCUAACGUAUAGUUGAUCAAGAUUGCUUUUAGUUCUCUCUUUCUGAAGUAAUGGAUAGAGAUGAAUGCCCUAGCGGGGCGGAUUGCUUUGAAUAGCCUAGUUUCGUACCCUUGCUCUUGGGAUGAGCUUUUCCUUCUAUUCCCAGGAUAAAAAGAAGAAUAGCUCAAGUUUUUCGAAAGUCUUCUUUUCUUAGUCACCGAUAAAGAAAGUAGCUAGGCUUGGUCUUCUGCAAUUCAAGGAAAGCUGUCCAAUAGGCCUAGAUCUGAGUAAGCAAUCCCCAUCUCCUGACGAAGGGGUAUCAAUCAGAACAGAAUAAAGUGAAAUCCAAACAACCUAUUUUUUCAUUUUUUAUGAAUCCGGAAAAAUAGGUUGUUAUCACAAAAAUACCAACUUAUUAGGUGACUCAGUCACUUCAUUUCUUCUAGCCGCCUGCCUGGUUGGUGUGAGCCGGAGUUAGACAUAACUCCCUUGUUCUUUCGACUAAUUCCUAAAAAUGCU